GAGUGGUGACGCUAUUAUUGGGCCUAAAACGUCCGUAGCCGGCUGAGUAAAUGCUUGGGUAAAUCGUGCCGCUUAACGGUACGAAUUCCGGGUAAACUGCUCAGCUUGAGAUCGGGAGAACGCUAGAGGUACUCCUGGGGUAGAGGUGAAAUUCUGUAAUCCUGGGGGGACCACCAGUGGCGAAGGCGCCUAGCUAGAACGAGUCUGACGGUGACGGACGAAACCCUGGGGCGCAAAC
rnacentral:rRNA from 1 species